CUCGGCUGCGAUCAUGUAGACAAUUGUAAAUCAUGUGAAGAUGGGACUCCUGGUAUUUGUGCGCAAUCUGCUGCUAGCCCUCUGCCUCUUUCUGGUACUGGGAUUUUUGUAUUAUUCUGCGUGGAAGCUGCACUUACUCCAAUGGGAAGACUCCAGUGAAGCAGUUUUUCUCCACCACAGUCUUCCAUCAUGAUUUUUCUGCCUCAGAGCCAGCUGACCAUGGAGUGAACUCCCUGAACUGUGAGCCAAAUAAACCUUUUAAAUUUUGUUAAGUGUUGGGUGUUUUGUCCCAGUGAUAGGAAAAUGACUAAUACAGUGUGUUCACUAGCUUAGUUGUGACAGUUUCACAGAUUAAUGUACGUAUGUUACAGAUACUGAUGAAUACAUCAAAAUUCACCAAGUCUAUACACUUUGGAUAGGGGCAAUUUAUGUUAUUAUAAUUUGGUAAAAAUAGCCAGGGAAAAAUAAUACCUUCAAAAGGACAACAAUUAGAUGGGUAAUUGGCUUCUGAAGAGUAGCAAUAAAAACUGGAAGUCAGUGAACUGUUUUUAUUAUUUUUAAAGAAAACAGCUGUCAGCUGGAAUCUGUACGUGCCAUGAAACCAUCUUUUGAGAAUGAGGCAGAUACUGAAGAAAAUUCACUACCAGCAAAAGGACCUUCAAAGGAAGGUACAGGAAGGAAUGAUAAACUGGUAAACCUUUGAGUAAACCUGCAUAAUAUUGGCUGUAUGCCACAAAAGGCAGUAUUACUCAGUUAGCAUCUGGCAUCAUAAAAGCCAAGAGAUGGAGCUAUACUACUAGUUGGUGAUAGAAUGUAAAUGAAGAAGUCAGGGAUACAGUGGGACGUACUUUACUUGUAAUUUCAGCACUCUGAGAGGUUGAGGCAGAAGGGUCCCAUGUUGGAACUCAGCUUGAGUGUUAUCGUUUGGACCAGAAGUGUUCCCCAGACAUCUUAAGGUUUCAGAGCGGGGCGUCUGGAAGCAGUGACUAGGUCAUGGUGUGCUAUAACUUCUGAAUGGAUUGUGGGCUAAUCCACUGAUGAGUUUACAGCUGACUGUGCUGUUAUGUGGUGGCACCUGGAAGAGGUUGUGACCUGGAAGGGAAUAUCUCCCUUCCUGCUUCUCCUUUUGCUAGGGAUGUCAUGACAUCAUGGACUGUCAUCAUGAGCCAAAAUAAA